rnacentral:rRNA from 2 species
UUUUUAUUGAGAGUUUGAUCCUGGCUCAGGACGAACGCUGGCGGUAUGCUUAACACAUGCAAGUCGAACGAGAAAGUUUUGAAUGAUCCUUCGGGUGAAAUUAGAACUGGAAAGUGGCGAACGGGUGAGUAACGCGUGGGUAACCUGCCCUAUGGAAAGGAAUAGCCUCGGGAAACUGGGAGUAAAGCCUUAUAUUAUGGUU